AGUGAACGCUGGCGGUAGGCCUAACACAUGCAAGUCGAACGGCAGCACAGUAAGAGCUUGCUCUUACGGGUGGCGAGUGGCGGACGGGUGAGGAAUACAUCGGAAUCUACUUUUUCGUGGGGGAUAACGUAGGGAAACUUACGCUAAUACCGCAUACGACCUACGGGUGAAAGCAGGGGAUCUUCGGACCUUGCGCGAUUGAAUGAGCCGAUGUCGGAUUAGCUAGUUGGCGGGGUAACGGCCCACCAAGUCGACGAUCCGUAGCUGGUCUGAGAGGAUGAUCAGCCACACUGGAACUGAGACACGGUCCAGACUCCUACGGGAGGCAGCAGUGGGGAAUAUUGGACAAUGGGCGCAAGCCUGAUCCAGCCAUACCGCGUGGGUGAAGAAGGCCUUCGGGUUGUAAAGCCCUUUUGUUGGGAAAGAAAAGCAGCAGGUUAAUACCCCGCUGUUCUGACGGUACCCAAAGAAUAAGCACCGGCUAACUUCGUG
rnacentral:rRNA from 1 species